rnacentral:rRNA from 1 species
GAUCAUGGCUCAGGAUGAACGCUAGCUACAGGCUUAACACAUGCAAGUCGAGGGGCAGCGGGAAGUCAGCUUGCUGACUUUGCCGGCGACCGGCGCACGGGUGAGUAACCACCGUAUCCAACCUUCCCGUUACUCUGGAAUAGCCUUUCGAAGAAAGAUUAAUACCGGAUAGUAUCGAGAGAUUGCAUGAUUACCCGAUUAAAGAUUCAUCGGUAACGGAUGGGGAUGCGUUCCAUUAGGCAG